rnacentral:lncRNA from 1 species
CGUGUGGGGAUAUCUUGUAAGUGUAUCUGAUAAAAGAAGACGAGAUCUGGUACUCCGAGGACCGCACAAGAAGCAUGGUCUUUGGAUCCCACGGAACACGUGCCGGUGACACGUGGGGCUUGUUGACUGAGAAAAGAGAAAGUUGAGGUGUUGAAAAUUCCUUAUCUGCUUUGCUUUUUAAUGCAAUAUUAAUUUAAGUGGAGCCUGUUAAAAAAAAAAAAUCAACCACAAACAUAACAAUAAGUAUUACUCCACUUGAUAACAUUUUUCCCACCAAAGAACUUCUCUUCAUAGGCGUCAGUCAUACCUAAAAAACCUAACCAUGAUAUGGCCUAAAUAUUUAGUCAUGCCUAAUCACGUUAGUUAAUAUAUAAUUAAUUAAACAUUAAAGAAAUUGAAGAUAUUUUAGCAAUGGCCGAUUUUGGUGUUCUUGUUAGGUUUGGUGACCUCAUCGAUUUUCCAAAAGAAGAUUCUUGAAAGAGAAUAUGGCGUCUUCUUAUGAAAAAACAUUCGUAUAUUAGUUGUUUCCCAUCAAUGAACAAACAUGUCACUCCACACUUACACCAAUCACAUAUGUAAUCUCUUCUUAUUUAACUCAUAAUGGCAAAAAAAAAAAAGUAAUGCUGUUUUAUGGCUUACGUAACCAAACAAAUCCACAUGUUCCAAUGUUAUUAUAGUUUGGUUAAAUAACGACAGUUGUUGGAUUAGAAAAUAAGAUUAUUCAUAAAAAUAAAUUUGUAAGCUAUAACUUAUGAAAUUGAAAAUUAUACUUUAAAAUAACAUGUUUAUUAAUAAUAGUUGAAGCACUAUAAAAAUAUUUUGAAAUGAUUCAAUUUGAUUCUAUACACUCAAAUGUAAUCUCUUUACGUGAAGAACCAAGAUUUUAAUUAAAUGAAUGAAACCCGUAGAAGAAAUAUAUAUUUUAAGGAUUUAUUAGUAUUAUAUAACCUUAAACCUCAUGAUAUUUGGGUUGAAUAAGUACCAUAAAAUCGAACCUUAUCUCAAGGAUUUUACCCUAACAUGCAUGUCAUCAAGCUAUUAUACCUCAAAAUUAGUUCAAAUAGAGUUUCGUAACAUCCAAGGUUUUAAAUUAGUAAUUAGAUGAUAUAACUGAAAAGUUGAUUUUAUUAUUUAAGAAUGUUAUGAGUAUAGUUGGAACAAGACUUGAAAAACACAAGUGUGAACUAUAUUAGUUCAAGUCAAUCGUUCACACAGUAGUUGGUAUGAGGGAGUAACAAUCACGGAAACGUUAAUAUUUCCCAACCUACUUUUGCAUUCAAAGAUCCUAUGAACAGCGUUUCAUCAACGAAAUCAUGUAGUUGCCUUUGCCUUCUACGAAUUCUUUUCUCCUGCAUGAUUCUAUGGGAAAAGGGAAUGCAUAUUUUUCUGCUAUCUCAACUGCCACAUAGUGCUCGGCAAAUGGGUGUUGAAGAAUACACUAUUUAAAUUCUAAAAGCUUAUAUUUUAGUCUGACUAACGAAAAAAGUUAUUUAAACUAAUGGUUUAUGUCGGUUUAAUUCGAGUUUAAAGAGCAUUGAACUCUGCUAUACAUUUCACACAUUCUUCUUAAAGUGGCUUACAUUUGAAUAUAAAAAUGACCACAGAUUUUAUUGAUAUCAUGUAAAAAUACAGUUCAAACAAUAAAUAGCAUCAUAAAAUGGACUCUGAGAAAAAAAGACGUAUACGUGAUGGGAGUGUGUAGUGUAUAUAGAAAAAGUCAUGAACAGUAAGGUGUAUGAGAUGCCAAAGCAGGCCACAACUAUAAGCCCAGUCCGAGUAAUUUUGUGGGGUAUCUAUUCAGGGAUGCAUAUAAUGCAAUCUGCAUUGUCAUAUAGUUUUAUUUUUCACUAAAAUUUUGUACUUGUAAGAAUCCCGCAGAUACUUGACUGUUAUCAACGUGAUGUUCUUUCUCCUAUGAAGAGUUUAGUUUCCACCCUUAAAUCAGUAAUAAAUCAUGAAUGUAAACUUUUUAUGCAGACAAAAAGAUUGAUCUACCAAGUUCGAUGGUAUGAAAAGAUAUCAUGGACAAAUGUAUCAGAAGAGAACAAUAAUCAAGAUUAAGAUCGACUUUAUGUAAUCCGAUACAGUAGAAUAUCGAAAUUAACAUUAUGAUGUUAUCAUAGGAGUAAUGUUUAGGCGCAAUGGAAUGUUACCUGACACUGAGAGUAGGCAAUGGAAGACGAUGACGAUGAUGAUGAUGAUGAUGAAGCGUAAAAGUCUUGCAAUGAAUUGAAAACACAAAGCACACGAGGUAGCUGGGUUUUAGAUGACAGGUAAGUGCAUUUAAGGAUAAUAAUAUCUCAGCGCCCCAACAAAUAAAGCUAUGGUUCCAUCCUUUGAAUGCUAACCUUCAACUUGUUGCCGAUUAUAUGGUCCACAUAAAAGACAUGACACGAGACUUUUCAAAGGCCAAUCAACCACUCGAACACAUUAUUUGUUGCAGAUGGAAACUUG